GGGCGCCAAACCAAUGCUCAGUGGUGGGGGUUGAGGGUUUAAAAAGGCUCAAGAGGGGGAAAUGCUUUUUUUUUUUUUUUUUACUAGACAUGUCCCUACUCAAUGUAUGGCAAGUAGGGACAAAAUUUACUAAUACUAAGUAAUUUCUACAUAGUAUUAGUAAAUUUGUCUGAAAGACCAAUUUAGGUCUUUCAGCCUUUUGGUAGAUAAC